ensembl:snRNA U6 U6 spliceosomal RNA
GUGCUCAAUUUGACAGCAUAUAUACUGAAAUUGGAACAAUACAGAGAAGACUAGCAUGGCCCCUGUGCAAGAAUGACAGAUUUCUAAAGCAUUCUUUAUUUUU